UUUUUGUUAAAUUUUUGAAAGUUUGACUUUUCUCACGCAAAACAUUUUUGAACUCUUUAGAAAGUCACUACAUCCAUUCUUCGGGGUCAAAAUAGAACAUGUCCCUUUCUUUUCUUUUUUAUUUCAGAGGGUUUAAAGGUGAGUGUGUGUGUGGGGGGGGGGGGGGGGUGUAUGUUAUUUUGUUUGGUGAAAUAUCGUUUAUCAUGAUCUAAAUGUUAGAAUGGUAAAACACUUAGACAUUACGAAUUUAAGCAAUGUUUUGUAAAAAUGAUGAUAGGAUAGUAUUUAUAUGAGCUCUUACUUAUUUACUGAAAUAACAGUGAAUUGUGUAGUACUGUGGUAAAAUAGCAAGGUAAAAAUAGUAAAAAAAACUGUACAAGAAAAAUUAUCGUUUAAAUAAUCUCUAAUUUAAUAUCUGUUGAUAGAUCCAUGAUGAUAAUUGUUUAAUAAAUAUCCUCAAGCUGCCAUUAAAAAAAUCACAAAUAUAAUUAAAAAUUGAGACGGAUUUGUAAAUAUAUUCAAAUAAUUACAAACACAUUUUAUUAUUUACAAGAAGUAAAUAAUCAAAGAACAUGGUAAACAACAAGGCGAGUGUGGAUAAACUGACAAAUCCCGGUAUAAUAUUUGAAUAUGGUGUCUUUAAUUUGAUUGUAAAUUUUCGUAUCUGUGGAAAUACACACAAACCGUCACUAAGAUGUAAGUAGUGUAUGCUUGCUUUCAGUCAACGCUCCAACACCUUGUUGUAUAAUUGAGAUUUAUCUCCGUGUUUAACUUGAUACUAAAUUGCCAUUUUCAGUGAAUUGAAAUGCAAAUUUGUUCUCCUCAUUAUGCGGUUACUUUAAAUAUGCAUAUGCAGCUAGUGGUAUUUGCUUGAAACACAUCGUAAAUCUAGUUCCUGAAUUUCAAACAAAAAUAUUCCGGCGGCUUGUGCCUUUGGUGUAUAGAUUACCAUGUAGUGGCAGAAGUUACUUAAUUAAAAUGGUAAAUUCGUAAACAGAAAACGAUUAAUGUAAGUUUAUAUUUUCAUUACCUGUUUUCAAGUUGAUGUUUGUAAUUAGUAUUAAAAUGAGUUCCAAUGAUUUUGAGUUAUAUGGAAACUUUUUUUCAUUAUGAUAAUGUUUUUACUUUAGCUCUCAUAUUUACAAAAUAUAUUUAUGUUUUACUC